ensembl:lncRNA
AAAAGAUCUCAGUUAAAACAAAAUGCAUCAGAUUUCAGGUGCCAGUCAAAGGUGAGGUUAUAUUGCUUAGAAUAGCCCAGUGCAGCCCUGGCUCUAAACUCACUGAAGAAAAUUUCUCUGACAAGACAUACAUCUUAAAAUUGUCUCCCAGUUGGUUCUGAAGUUUCUGUGGUAAAUGAAAAAAGCAUUAUUAGAACACAAAGUUCGAGAUGAGAAAAAAGUGCUUGUUCUUGCAUGAUUUCCCAGCAGGCUAGGGUUACUGCCUCUCAGUGUUUGAUUAACACCACAAAUGUGUAUCACCUGGCAAAACAAACCCACCGGCCCUGACGGAGCCACUCUAUACUACACAGUGUGUAUUUUAUAUUGGCAUCAGAGGAUUGUGACAUGUGCAGCUGCCUGUGGUGUCACACAAUCACUAUGCUGCACAACAGGACAGCAAGGGUGGAAGGAAAAAGAAGUGGAAGUCUGCGGAGAGAGCAGAGGCCCUACUACCUCAGCCAGUUACUCAGUGGUCUGGUGUGAAUGCAAGAUGCUGAAGAAAUGAAUUACAUGAUACUCCUCAGGCAAGAAGCAGCUUCUAUCUCAGAACCAACCAACGUGGAACUGAAACUUCCUCAGGAGAGGAAUGCAUCUCCCUGCUCACCUAAGCCAAGAAGAAAAGCUACCGACAUCUGCAUGGUUACAGAGAAAAAUGGAAAUGGCAGUGUUGAACUCACAGGGCCCUUGCAGUGUCUUUACCUUACCCUGCCGUUUCAAGAACUCUGAAGAUGAAAGUCCUGUGUUCCCAGACUCCCUGAGUUGGCUCUACCUUCACACCGCUGAAGGGGAGGGAAGGAACAUUCCUUUGCUGGAUUACCUUUCUGCUGGCUCAGCUCCUCAAACCAGUGAAAUUCUUGAUUAAUUUUGAUGAGAUGGAGCAUUUCUGAAGCGCUGCAUGGAGCUAAACGUCAGCCCAGGAUGCUUGUGUGUUACUGACACCUCUGAUGUUUCCCCAGCUACAACGGAAUUCAGCUCACCCACUCCAGUGUGUUUUAAAUGCUUACAGGAACAAAAUCCAAUUUUAAAUAAUAAAGACACUGUCUAAGACA